rnacentral:rRNA from 1 species
CCUACGGGAGGCAGCAGUGGGGAAUUUUGGACAAUGGGCGCAAGCCUGAUCCAGCAAUGCCGCGUGCAGGAAGAAGGCCUUCGGGUUGUAAACUGCUUUUGUCAGGGAAGAAAUCUUCUGGGCUAAUAUCCCGGGAGGAUGACGGUACCUGAAGAAUAAGCACCGGCUAACUACGUGCCAGCAGCCGCGGUAAUACGUAGGGUGCGAGCGUUAAUCGGAAUUACUGGGCGUAAAGCGUGCGCAGGCGGCUUUGCAAGACAGAGGUGAAAUCCCCGGGCUCAACCUGGGAACUGCCUUUGUGACUGCAAGGCUAGAGUACGGCAGAGGGGGAUGGAAUUCCGCGUGUAGCAGUGAAAUGCGUAGAUAUGCGGAGGAACACCGAUGGCGAAGGCAAUCCCCUGGGCCUGUACUGACGCUCAUGCACGAAAGCGUGGGGAGCAAACAGGAUUAGAUACCCUGGUAGUCCACGCCCUAAACGAUGUCAACUGGUUGUUGGACGGCUUGCUGUUCAGUACGAAGCUAACGCGUGAAGUUGACCGCCUGGGGAGUACGGCCGCGAAGGUUGAAAACGUCAAAAGUAGUAGUACGGCGAGAGAGAGACGACGGACGACGACGAGGAGGGAGGNG